rnacentral:rRNA from 1 species
GACGAACGCUGGCGGCGUGCUUAACACAUGCAAGUCGAACGGAAAGGCCCUGCUUGCAGGGUACUCGAGUGGCGAACGGGUGAGUAACACGUGGGUGAUCUGCCCUGCACUUCGGGAUAAGCCUGGGAAACUGGGUCUAAUACCGGAUAGGAGCCAUUUUUAGUGUGAUGGUUGGAAAGUUUUUUCGGUGUAGGAUGAGCUCGCGGCCUAUCAGCUUGUUGGUGGGGUAAUGGCCUACCAAGGCGGCGACGGGUAGCCGGCCUGGGAGGGUGGACGGCCACAUUGGGACUGAGAUACGGCCCAGACUCCUACGGGAGGCAGCAGUGGGGAAUAUUGCACAAUGGGCGCAGGCCUGAUGCAGCGACGCCGCGUGGGGGAUGACGGCCUUCGGGUUGUAAACUCCUUUCGCUAGGGACGAAGCUUUUUGUGACGGUACCUAGAUAAGAAGCACCGGCUAACUACGUG